rnacentral:rRNA from 1 species
GAUGAACGCUGGCGGCGUGCCUAAUACAUGCAAGUCGAGCGAACGGACGAGAAGCUUGCUUCUCUGAUUUUAGCGGCGGACGGGUGAGUAACACGUGGAUAACCUACCUAUAAGACUGGGAUAACUUCGGGAAACCGUAGCUAAGACCGGAUAAUAUUUUGAACCGCAUGGUUCAAAAGUGAAAGACGGUCUUGCUUUCACUUAUAGAUGGAUCCGCGCUGCAUUAGCUAGUUGGUAAGGUAACGGCUUACCAAGGCAACGAUGCAUAGCCGACCUGAGAGGGUGAUCGGACACACUGGAUGUGAGAAUCGGUCCAGACUCCUACGGGAGGCAGCAGUAGAGAAUCUUACGCGAUGCAGGAAAGCCUGACGGUGCACCGCCGCGGGAGUGAUGAAGGUGUUAGGAUCGUAAAACUAUGUUAGUAGGGAAGAAGAUAUGUGUAAGUAACUGUGAACAUCUUGACGGUACCUAAUCAGAAAGCCACGGCUAACUCCGUG